UCCGGGUGUGGGUGCGUGUGUGUGUGUGUGUUGUGUGUGUGUGUGUGUGUGUGUGUGCGCGCGCGGAGAGGGAGGGACCCUAGGGCUCGCGGCGCGUCCCGGGGAUGCUGGCAAGUCGUGUUGGCUGCACCCCUCCCCCCCACCCCCCGGGAGGAGACGGGGCGGGGGGGGGGGUUGCCCCGGGACAGUGCCCACCGGGCGGGGUGAUGGGGGUAACGGUGCCAGGUCUCGGCCGGGGAGGGGCAGAUGACCCCGCGAGGCGCUUCUCAGGGUGCCCCACAGCCGACUUCUCCUCGGUGGGCCGGUCGCCGGAGGCAGAUGGCAGACAAGGGAAUCCGGAAAUCUGGAGUCGUGGCUGCGGUGACAGCGCGAGUGCGGAACCCGUGCCAGCAGGCCCACGGCCCCAACUGUGAGAAGGAAAUGUGGCGAAUCUAAGACACGGCCGUGAAAUGAGGUUGCGUCUACUGAUGAGAGCAACUUGGAUGAUCUACACUUGGUGUGUGGGCGGCCAUGCUAGACGGUGUGUGCCUGUCGGGGUGAAGGAGUCACUUUCAAAAGUGUGAAAUCUGGGCCAGCCUAAGGGUAUUCACAGCCUCUCUUAUAGAGAAAUAUGCUAGGGAAGGUUUGGCUCUUAAAAUAAAAAGGAAACACAGUCCACCGAAAGAAAACCUGUUUCAUUAUUUUACAGUCAUGCCUAAUAUUCAUAUUUAAUUACAGGGCAGGAUAUAAAUGCUUUUUCCUUGUCCUCUCUGCCGAAAAUGCUCCCCCUAGCCCCCAUGAUCUUCUCAUCACUGCCUCCUUAUACUUCAGGGCACCACUCAAGUGGCACCUUCUUUCUCGAGGAAACCUUCCCUGACUGCUUGACUUAAAGUCACUCCCUCUCUUCUCCAAUUUAUUAACUUUCUUCAUAGAACUCAUCAUUUGGGUUUUUUUUUUUAACAUUUUUUUUUUUCUUGGCUACUUGUCUUCUACUCUUCCUCGUUAGAAAAUAUGCUUCCAGAAAGCAGGGAAGAGAAACCAGUUCACAUGGUUUUCAACUCACCCCGUCCCUAGUGCCUCGAGCCAACACUACCCAUAUAGUAGUUGCUCAAUAAAUGUUUGUUGACUGGUGGGUGAACAGGGCCAAGUGACUACAGACAUGGUAAGUACUGCCCGGGGAACAGUGUUAGGGCUUACUCUAGCCUGGGAGGGCCAGCCGGACCUGGGAAGAAUGACAUGAAGCCAGGAAGCUAGAGAAGAAAAACCCGGAGGUGGGAAUGAGCUUGGUGUAUCUGAGAAACUGGGGACCAGCCUCUUCCAGAUGGAAGGGAGUCAUUCAGGAGCCUAGCGGAUGGAGAAAUAAGUUAGAACCAAGAAGCGUGGGUAGAGCCAGCUUCUGAAAGCCUGCUUGAUUCCCUACAUCCAUUUCUGUCUCCAUCACUUUUUUAACUGAAAAUUCUUACGGAGAUAAUUGUAGGUCCUCGUGCAGCUGUUAGAAAUAAUACAGAGAGGUCCCUUGUAUACUUUAUCCGGUUUUCCCCAAUAGGAACCUUUUGCAAAUCUAUCGUAGAGUAUCACAAUCGGAAGGUUCACACUGAUAGGUUGACUUAGAUCUGAAACACUUCGGUUCAAUUUUUGCCAUUGAAAAUUUUUAGUAAAGUUACUCUUCAGUUUUUGAAAGAAUGCACAGAGACUCUUUUGAAGGGGUUCGGCCUCUGGUUUUAACGGAGCCAACAUUUUUGAGGGAGGGGAAAUGAUUUAUUUUUAAUCAUUAGGGUCCGAAUUCUCCAGCUAUAAAAGACCGAAAUCUUGGGGACUUACCUCUUUUGUUUACAUUUUAAUGACUGCCACUCACUUCCCUGUUCUACCCAGUACUGUCAAAGGAACAUUUUGAGCAAUAGUGUACAUGACUUGUCAGUUCUGAAAUCAGACAGGAUGCGGUGUUAACUAAUCUCCUAAACUAAGCCCGACCACGAAUGUGCCUUUCUCUUUCCCUUGGACAUUGGAUGGGACUGCCAAUGCGUGUCUCCCAAAGGGAAGCGAUUCAAGACAAAGACCCAUUCUUCCAGUAGGAUAUGUGGGGAAUACCAACUAUGCUUGUUACAGAAUGUGCAUGGCUGGUGUUGGCUGGCCCUCCUCACGCCAGCAAGAGGAUACAGAAGCAACCUCCUAAGCUCUCCAUGACAUUCAAGUGACGAGGCAAUUUGACAUCCGUCACUCGGGAGCUGCCCCAAAGAAGCCGUGUUCCUUCCUCGGGCAGUUGGUGCCCAUGAACGACCGUUCUUCUCACAUGGGAUCCUCUUUGAAAUGUAUCUCUCGCAGAUGUGUGUUUUCAACGUGCAUUUUCCUCCCGUCUCUUCAUCGGUCUUGUUUGAGAAACCCAAAUUGUUUAAUGCUCCUACCUCCCUCUUCCUUUGUGAUUCACACUCACAGCAGAAUUUCAUUUUGUCCUUCAGUUGUGUGGCUGGCCCUAAUCCUCGGAUAGAGCUUCAAAUUGUUUAUUCCUUAAAACAAAAUUUCAAAAGUGACCUGGAAUUUAGCCAGCGGCAGCCAGUCUCUGAGUUUGGCUUUGUGUCCAUAAGCUGCAGUUGAGAGAAACGCACGAAAUGCCCAAACGGAAUAAAACAAAUGAUCUAUUUA